rnacentral:rRNA from 1 species
UUGGAGAGUUUGAUCCUGGCUCAGGAUGAACGCUGGCGGCGUGCCUAAUACAUGCAAGUCGAGCGAAUGGAUUAAGAGCUUGCUCUUAUGAAGUUAGCGGCGGACGGGUGAGUAACACGUGGGUAACCUGCCCAUAAGACUGGGAUAACUCCGGGAAACCGGGGCUAAUACCGGAUAACAUUUUGAACCGCAUGGUUCGAAAUUGAAAGGCGGCUUCGGCUGUCACUUAUGGAUGGACCCGCGUCGCAUUAGCUAGUUGGUGAGGUAACGGCUCACCAAGGCAACGAUGCGUAGCCGACCUGAGAGGGUGAUCGGCCACACUGGGACUGAGACACGGCCCAGACUCCUACGGGAGGCAGCAGUAGGGAAUCUUCCGCAAUGGACGAAAGUCUGACGGAGCAACGCCGCGUGAGUGAUGAAGGCUUUCGGGUCGUAAAACUCUGUUGUUAGGGAAGAACAAGUGCUAGUUGAAUAAGCUGGCACCUUGACGGUACCUA